rnacentral:tRNA from 1 species
ACCUAGCUGGCUCUGUCAAAGAGCAUGAGACUCUUGAUCUCGGGGUUGUGGGUUCGAGCCCCGUGUUGGGUA